rfam:Blautia sp. An249 An249_contig_50, whole genome shotgun sequence.
AGAAAAUCAGCUCUGUACAAUCAAAUCCGAUGAAACAUUGUACAGAGU